GCUCACUUCAGCAGCACAUCUACUAAAAUUGGAACGAUACAGAGAAGAUUAGCUUGGCCCCCUGUGUAAGGAUGACAGGCAAAUUCAUGAAGCGUUCCAUAUUUUU
ensembl:snRNA U6 U6 spliceosomal RNA